GCCCCGUGGUCUGCGCCGCUGGCAACAAGGUUGAAGAAGAUCUCGUCUCCUUCCACGUCUUCGCCUUCUCCUCAUUCCUCUUCUCCAGCCUCGUCGCCCUCUGCCUCAAGCAAGCCAUUCGCUUGUUUCGCCCGCCGCGCGGCCCUAAGGCGGCUCGCGUCAACCGCGCGGCGCUGCGCGGCGGGAUCAUGGCAUGCGCUGUUG
rnacentral:misc_RNA from 1 species